rnacentral:lncRNA from 1 species
GCUUUGGAUUCACCUUGAAAACAUCCUCUCUGAACAUCAGAAAUCCACUUGGUCCCUGAAUGGUGUAUUAACUUCUAACAUUUCUGACUUCCAGUCAUGGAGAUUUCAAAACCAAUUGCAUAUAGCAGCGAAGCUUUUCACUUUUAAUGGAACAUUUAGGAGAAGGGCAGCUUUUCCUAUUUUCU